rnacentral:rRNA from 1 species
GAACCGACUAAUGUUGAAAAAUUAGCGGAUGACCUGUGGCUGGGGGUGAAAGGCCAAUCAAACCGGGAGAUAGCUGGUUCUCCCCGAAAGCUAUUUAGGUAGCGCCUCGUGAAUUCAUCUCCGGGGGUAGAGCACUGUUUCGGCUAGGGGGCCAUCCCGGCUUACCAACCCGAUGCAAACUGCGAAUACCGGAGAAUGUUAUCACGGGAGACACACGGCGGGUGCUAACGUCCGUCGUGAAGAGGGAAACAACCCAGACCGCCAGCUAAGGUCCCAAAGUCAUGGUUAAGUGGGAAACGAUGUGGGAAGGCCCAGACAGCCAGGAUGUUGGCUUAGAAGCAGCCAUCAUUUAAAGAAAGCGUAAUAGCUCACUGGUCGAGUCGGCCUGCGCGGAAGAUGUAACGGGGCUAAACCAUGCACCGAAGCUGCGG